UACGUAGGGGGCUAGCGUUGCUCGGAAUCACUGGGCGUAAAGGGUGCGUAGGCGGGCCUUUAAGUCAGGGGUGAAAUCCUGGAGCUCAACUCCAGAACUGCCUUUGAUACUGAAGAUCUUGAGUUCGGGAGAGGUGAGUGGAACUGCGAGUGUAGAGGUGAAAUUCGUAGAUAUUCGCAAGAACACCAGUGGCGAAGGCGGCUCGCUGGCCCGAUACUGACGCUGAGGCACGAAAGCGUGGGGAGCAAACAGG
rnacentral:rRNA from 1 species